GGGUUGUGAGGUUAAGCGACUAAGCGUACACGGUGGAUGCCCUGGCAGUCAGAGGCGAUGAAGGACGUGCUAAUCUGCGAAAAGCGUCGGUAAGGUGAUAUGAACCGUUAUAGCCGGCGAUGUCCGAAUGGGGAAACCCAGUGCAAUUCGUUGCACUAUCGUUUGAUGAAUACAUAGUCAAACGAGGCGAACCGGGGGAACUGAAACAUCUAAGUACCCCGAGGAAAAGAAAUCAACCGAGAUUCCCCCAGUAGCGGCGAGCGAACGGGGAGCAGCCCGGAGUCUGAAUCAGCUUGUGUGUUAGUGGAAGCGUCUGGAAAGUCGCAGGGUACAGGGUGAUACUCCCGUACACUAAAACACACAGGCUGUGAACUCGAAGAGUAGGGCGGGACACGUGGUAUCCUGUCUGAAUAUGGGGGGACCAUCCUCCAAGGCUAAAUACUCCUGACUGACCGAUAGUGAACCAGUACCGUGAGGGAAAGGCGAAAAGAACCCCGGCGAGGGGAGUGAAAAAGAACCUGAAACCGUGUACGUACAAGCAGUAGGAGCCUCUUUAUGGGGUGACUGCGUACCUUUUGUAUAAUGGGUCAGCGACUUAUAUUCUGUAGCAAGGUUAACCGUAUAGGGGAGCCGCAGGGAAACCGAGUCUUAACUGGGCGUUAAGUUGCAGGGUAUAGACCCGAAACCCGGUGAUCUAGCCAUGGGCAGGUUGAAGGUUGGGUAACACUAACUGGAGGACCGAACCGACUAAUGUUGAAAAAUUAGCGGAUGACUUGUGGCUGGGGGUGAAAGGCCAAUCAAACCGGGAGAUAGCUGGUUCUCCCCGAAAGCUAUUUAGGUAGCGCCUCGUGAACUCAUCUUCGGGGGUAGAGCACUGUUUCGGCUAGGGGGUCAUCCCGACUUACCAACCCGAUGCAAACUACGAAUACCGAAGAAUGUUAUCACGGGAGACACACGGCGGGUGCUAACGUCCGUCGUGAAGAGGGAAACAACCCAGACCGCCAGCUAAGGUCCCAAAGUCAUGGUUAAGUGGGAAACGAUGUGGGAAGGCCCAGACAGCCAGGAUGUUGGCUUAGAAGCAGCCAUCAUUUAAAGAAAGCGUAAUAGCUCACUGGUCGAGUCGGCCUGCGCGGAAGAUGUAACGGGGCUAAACCAUGCACCGAAGCUGCGGCAGCGACACUAUGUGUUGUUGGGUAGGGGAGCGUUCUGUAAGCCGUCGAAGGUGGCCUGUGAGGGUUGCUGGAGGUAUCAGAAGUGCGAAUGCUGACAUAAGUAACGAUAAUGCGGGUGAAAAACCCGCACGCCGGAAGACCAAGGGUUCCUGUCCAACGUUAAUCGGGGCAGGGUGAGUCGACCCCUAAGGCGAGGCCGAAAGGCGUAGUCGAUGGGAAACAGGUUAAUAUUCCUGUACUCGGUGUUACUGCGAAGGGGGGACGGAGAAGGCUAUGUUGGCCGGGCGACGGUUGUCCCGGUUUAAGCAUGUAGGCGGAUGUUCCAGGUAAAUCCGGAACGUUAUCAACGCUGAGGUGUGAUGACGAGGCACUACGGUGCUGAAGUGACAAAUGCCCUGCUUCCAGGAAAAGCCUCUAAGCAUCAGGUAACAUCAAAUCGUACCCCAAACCGACACAGGUGGUCAGGUAGAGAAUACCAAGGCGCUUGAGAGAACUCGGGUGAAGGAACUAGGCAAAAUGGUGCCGUAACUUCGGGAGAAGGCACGCUGAUAUGUAGGUGAAGUGGUUUACCCAUGGAGCUGAAAUCAGUCGAAGAUACCAGCUGGCUGCAACUGUUUAUUAAAAACACAGCACUGUGCAAACACGAAAGUGGACGUAUACGGUGUGACGCCUGCCCGGUGCCGGAAGGUUAAUUGAUGGGGUUAUCCGUAAGGAGAAGCUCUUGAUCGAAGCCCCGGUAAACGGCGGCCGUAACUAUAACGGUCCUAAGGUAGCGAAAUUCCUUGUCGGGUAAGUUCCGACCUGCACGAAUGGCGUAAUGAUGGCCAGGCUGUCUCCACCCGAGACUCAGUGAAAUUGAACUCGCUGUGAAGAUGCAGUGUACCCGCGGCAAGACGGAAAGACCCCGUGAACCUUUACUAUAGCUUGACACUGAACACUGGUCCUUGAUGUGUAGGAUAGGUGGGAGGCUUUGAAG
rnacentral:rRNA from 1 species